rnacentral:rRNA from 1 species
GACGAACGCUGGCGGCGUGCUUAACACAUGCAAGUCGAACGGAAAGGCCCUGCUUUUGUGGGGUGCUCGAGUGGCGAACGGGUGAGUAACACGUGAGUAACCUGCCCUUGACUUUGGGAUAACUUCAGGAAACUGGGGCUAAUACCGGAUAGGAGCUCCUGCUGCAUGGUGGGGGUUGGAAAGUUUCGGCGGUUGGGGAUGGACUCGCGGCUUAUCAGCUUGUUGGUGGGGUAGUGGCUUACCAAGGCUUUGACGGGUAGCCGGCCUGGUCGGGUGACCGGGCAAAGUGGGAGUGGAAUGCGGCACGGACUGGUCCCGGAGGGAGCGGUGGAGUGGGUAGCAUGAGGGUCGGAGGGAUGACGUACGAAAGCCGCGCGCGGGAAGAGGGGAAGGCGGUUGGGAUGCAAAGUCCCCUUACACGGGACGAUAAUGACGGUACUGGGAGAAUAAGCACCGGCUAACUACGUG